UACGGAGGGUGCAAGCGUUGUCCGGAUUUAUUGGGUUUAAAGGGUGCGUAGGCGGCCAUUUAAGUCUGGGGUGAAAGCCCGUUGCUCGACAACGGAACUGCCCUGGAAACUGGAUGGCUUGAGUACAGACGGAGGGUGCGGAAUGGAUGCUGUAGCGGUGAAAUGCAUAGAUAGCAUCCAGAACCCCCGAUUGCGAAGCAGCUGCCUAGACCUGUAACUGAACGCUGAGGCAGCGAAAAGCGUGGGGAGCGAACAGG
rnacentral:rRNA from 1 species